rnacentral:rRNA from 1 species
GCACGUCGAGGGGUAACGAUAGUGCUUGCACUAGGCGACGACCGGCGCACGGGUGAGUAACGCGUAUGCAACCUACCUCAAACUGGAGGAUAGCCCAGGGAAACUUGGAUUAAUACUCCAUAGUAUAUAUCAUUCGCAUGUUUGAUAUAUUAAAGUUCCGGCGGUUUGAGAUGGGCAUGCGUGCCAUUAGAGAGUGGGUGAGGUAACGGCUCACCAAGUCUUCGAUGGCUACGGGGUCUUAAAGGAUGGGC